rnacentral:rRNA from 1 species
AAUUAUUUAUAGCCUCUGGCUAUAGGAAAUUGUUAGUGGCAGACGGGUGAGUAAUGCGUAGGAAUCUACCUAGUAGUACGGAAUAGCCAUUAGAAAUGGUGGGUAAUACUGUAUAAUCCCCGAGGGGGAAAGAUUUAUCGCUAUUAGAUGAGCCUACGUUAGAUUAGCUAGUUGGUGAGGUAAUGGCUUACCAAGGCUAUGAUCUAUAGCUGGUCUGAGAGGACGAUCAGCCACACUGGAACUGAGAUACGGUCCAGACUCCUACGGGAGGCAGCAGUGGGGAAUAUUGGACAAUGGGCGAAAGCCUGAUCCAGCUAUGCCGCGUGAGUGAAGAAGGCCUUCGGGUUGUAAAACUCUUUCAAUAGGGAAGAUAAUGACGGUACCUAU